rnacentral:rRNA from 1 species
ACUUGGAACCGGGAGAGGUAAGAGGUACUACAGGGGUAGGAGUGAAAUCUUGUAAUCCCUGUGGGACCACCUGUGGCGAAGGCGUCUUACCAGAACGGGUUCGACGGUGAGGGACGAAAGCUGGGGGCACGAACCGGAUUAGAUACCCGGGUAGUCCCAGCCGUAAACGAUGCUCGCUAGGUGUCAGGCAUGGCGCGACCGUGUCUGGUGCCGCAGGGAAGCCGUGAAGCGAGCCACCUGGGAAGUACGGCCGCAAGGCUGAAACUUAAAGGAAUUGGCGGGGGAGCACAACAACGGGUGGAGCCCUGCGGUUUAAUUGGACUCAACGCCGGACAACUCACCGGGGGCGACAGCAAUAUGUAGGCCAAGCUGAAGACUUUGCCUGAAUCGCUGAGGAGAGGUGCAUGG